rnacentral:lncRNA from 1 species
UGGGGUUUACUUCAAUAGUGUAGAAUUUAAAGUCUGAUUUUGAGUUUAACAGGUUUUGGUAAAAAUUGGGGAUUUUGGGUUUUAUGUUGAAAUUGUGGGUUUUGAUGUUGUAAGCAUGAAUUUGAUGUUAGAAAUAGGUUCUAAGUGCAUACAGAAAGUUAAUUUGCAUCUGUAAACUGAUUUGGGGAGUGAUUGGAAGAAAAAUGGGAUUUUGGGGAAAAACCAGAUUUCUGCCCGUACAGAAGUUCAUCGCUCGCCUCGCGAGCAUUCAUGCUUCGCCUCGCGAGUGAGCAACUUCAUCACUCGCCUCGCGAGCAGUCCAACUCGCCAUGGCGAGUAAGCCUGGAUAAAACUUGAUUUUUGAAAAGUUGUUAUAAGAUGUUUUGGGGAUGGUUUAAGGUACCUAGAUGAUAUUAAUGAUGAAUGGUGAAAGUUUUAGGUUAAAAAGAUGAAUAGGGAGCUUAGAAUUGGAGUUUGAGUGAGAAAAUGUCACUUUUUCCCGAGAGUACCUGAUUUUUACUCGCCUCGAGUUCGCCUUGAACUCGCCAUGGCAAGCUAGUGUUUUUGUGAACUCGCCAUGGCGAGCAGAUGUGCUCGCGAGGCG